GACGAACGCUGGCGGCGUGCUUAACACAUGCAAGUCGAACGGAAAGGCCCUGCUUGCAGGGUACUCGAGUGGCGAACGGGUGAGUAACACGUGGGUGAUCUGCCCUGCACUUCGGGAUAAGCCUGGGAAACUGGGUCUAAUACCGGAUAGGAGCCAUUUUUAGUGUGAUGGUUGGAAAGUUUUUUCGGUGUAGGAUGAGCUCGCGGCCUAUCAGCUUGUUGGUGGGGUAAUGGCCUACCAAGGCGGCGGCGGGUAGCCGGCCUGAGAGGGUGGACGGCCACAUUGGGACUGAGAGACGGCCCAGACUCCUACGGGAGGCAGCAGUGGGGAAUAUUGCACAAUGGGCGCAAGCCUGAUGCAGCGACGCCGCGUGGGGGAUGACGGCCUUCGGGUUGUAAACUCCUUUCGCUAGGGACGAAGCUUUUUGUGACGGUACCUAGAUAAGAAGCACCGGCUAACUACGUG
rnacentral:rRNA from 1 species